rnacentral:rRNA from 1 species
UUUAAAAUCUGAUGGCCUUUGGUCAUCCSAGUUGUAAUUUASAGAAGCGUUUUCCGCGCUGGACCAUGCACAAGUCUCCUGGAAUGGAGCGUCAUAGAGGGUGAGAAUCCCGUCUUUGGCAUGGACCCCAGGGCUUAUGUGAUGCGCUCUCAAAGAGUCGAGUUGUUUGGGAAUGCAGCUCAAAAUGGGUGGUGAACUCCAUCUAAAGCUAAAUAUURGCGAGAGACCGAUAGCGAACAAGUACCGUGAGGGAAAGAUGAAAAGCACUUUGGAAAGAGAGUGAAACAGUACGUGAAAUUGUUGAAAGGGAAACGCUUGAAGUCAGUCGCGUUAACCGAGACUCAGCCUUGCCUUGGCUUGGUGUACUUCUCGGCUGACGGGUCAGCAUCAAUUUUGAUCCUUGGAUAAUGGCAAGGGAAAGGUGGCACCUUUAGGUGUGUUAUAGUCCUUUGUCGGAUGCAAGGGUUGGGAUUGAGGAACUCAGCAUGCACCUCACGGUGUCGGGGCCUCUGGCUCACGUUACAUGCUUAGGAUGCUGGCAUAAUGGCUUUAAACGACCCGUCUUGAAACACGGACCAAGGAGUCUAACAUGCCCGCGAGUGUUCGGGUGGAAAACCCGUGCGCGUAAUGAAAGUAAAAGUUGGGACCUCUGUCAUGGAGGGCACCGACGCCCGGACCAGACCUUCUGUGACGGCUCUGCGGUAGAGCGUGUAUGUUGGRACCCGAAAGAUGGKGAACUAUGCCUGAAUAGGGUGAAGCCAAAGGAAACUCUGGUGGAGGCUCGUA